CUCCCACCUCCUGGACAGCUCACUAAGAAUGCAGCUUCACAAUGAAUGUAAAAUGGAUGCUGUCCAGGAGGUGGGAGGGUCUGGAAGGGAGGGUCUGCUGCUGAUUGGCUGGAAUGUGUCUGCUGACUGUGAGGUACACGGUCAAAGUUUACUCAAUGAUGACACCGUUUGGCGAACUGUUCGGGACAUCACUAAUCACAAGUCCAUGGCUGAUCAGGACUAUCCAGAUUGCCAAUGCAAAUUCAGACCAUGUAUUGGUUUUGUGUGUGUGCAGAGUCAAUACACAUAAAGAGAAAAUAGUGUGAGGGUGAAAAUCUAUUGAAAAGGCAAGAGUCCUAUGCACUGUCUGUUCUUUUUGAACAAUAAACUGAGAAAUGUGGUUUACCAGUACAUCUUUGAGCGACUAAAUCGAAUUACUUAAGCUUAAAGCUCAAAAGUGUACUGCCAGCGGUGAAUCUACCUUCUCAAAGCAGAAUGUUUCUCAGAAUAUAAAACUACACUUAUCAUAAUAUAUGAAAAUGUGAUUGUUGUAACUUAUCUUUAAAUCAUACAUCAGGAAUGUUCCAAAAUAGAAGUGUGCCUUUAUCCCAGUAGGUGGCGCGAGCUAACACAAACGCAGCACCCGGCAUCUGUACUUGUGGAAAUCACACUUUUAAGAGGAACUGUUUUGUUGUGUGUUUUUCACAGUAAACACUAUGCGGUAUAUUUGUGUCAAUAAGGAAGCAGAAUUGUCCAGCAAUCUAAAAUCAACUCACGCCUGCCAUUAGAAAUGGGUUAUGGUAAUCACCAAUAUGGAUGAACUCACGGGAUAUUUGUGAUGGCGAAACAGUUGCUUUCCUUUAGCUCAGUGCCAAAAAUUCAGAAACAUUCUGUUGGUUUCCAUAGUGAUUGCUUUAUAUUUAGCCCUUUGCCAAACAACAGCAUGUAUUUUUGCCUUGAUAAAACUUUCCUGUUUUAAAAGCAAAUACAUUACUUCCCAUGAUUCAUCCUGUUUCUGAAUGCCAUGACAGCUCAAUAGGGUCUAAUUUUCGAUGGAAUUUUGAUCAUUUUGUUUACGCAAGAAAAAUCCAUUCUGAUUUCAGCAGAUUCCUAUUUUGUAAAUCUGUUCAGAAUGUUUGAUGAGAGAGAGAUGGAGAUAAUUAGAGGGACAAAGGUUUAAAAAUAAUAUCAGGAAGUAUUACUUUACUGUGAGGGUAGUGG